CUUACUUGUGUGCAGCUUAUUACAGAGGUCUGUGAGUAGGAAGAUUACAAUAGCUGUAAGCCUUAUUCUAAUUGCUUGCUGACUAUGUACCAACUAUUACAAAAUGUAACUCAUGUCCAAGGUACAUUUAGAAAACCUGACCGCUCUAAACAUUCCGCUUCCCUAUCUGCCACACACACAGCUUUAACAAAGUUCUCUUUUAAUGUAACAACCGAUUUUUAACCAAAUACUGUCCACAAGCUGAUACUAGUAAUAAAAACAAAAUAUUACCCCCAUCACCACUUUGGUGUAAGCUAUGAAAGUACGUCGUUGAGAUGGUUACCAAUUUGGCCCUUCAUUUUACACAGACAGGGUCCCUUCUAAUGGAAAACGUGUUACACAGACAGGGCCCACUCUAAUGGAAAACGUGUUACACAGACAGGGC